rnacentral:rRNA from 1 species
GACGAACGCUGGCGGCGUGCUUAACACAUGCAAGUCGAGCGGUAAGGCUCCUUCGGGAGUACACGAGCGGCGAACGGGUGAGUAACACGUGAGUAACCUGCCCUUCUCAUCGGAAUAAGCGUUGGAAACGACGUCUAAUGCCGAAUAUGACAACGGAUCGCAUGAUCUGUUGUGGAAAGCUCCGGCGGAGAAGGAUGGACUCGCGGCCUAUCAGCUUGUUGGUGAGGUAAUGGCUCACCAAUGCGACGACGGGUAGCCGGCCUGAGAGGGUGACCGGCCACACUGGGACUGAGACACGCGCCAGUCUCCUGCGGGAGGCAGCAGUGGGGAGUAUUGGACAAUGGGCGCAAGCCUGAUCCAGCAACGCCGCGUGAGGGAUGACGGCCUUCGGGUUGUAAACCUCUUUCAGCAGGGACGAAGCGAAAGUGACGGUACCUGCAGAAGAAGGACCGGCCAACUACGUGCCAGCCGCCGCAGUAACAC